rnacentral:pre_miRNA from 2 species
AGUGCAGUCACCCAUAAAGUAGAAAGCACUACUAACAGCACUGGAGGGUGUAGUGUUUCCUACUUUAUGGAUGAGUGUA